UACCACUUCACACCACCAGGUGGCUUUAAUCAAAAAGAUAAGCGUUGCCAAGGAUGUGGAGAAAUUGGGACACUCAUACAGCGUCUGCAGAAAUGUAAAAUGGCGCAGCCGCUUUGGAAAACAGUCUGGCAGUUUCUCAAAAGGUUGAACGUAGAAUUACCGAGUGACCCAGCAAUUCCACCCCUAAGUAAUGAGAUAGAAAGAGAAAGGAAGACAUGUUCACACACAGACUUAUACACGAAUGUUCAUAACAGCAUCAUUCAUAAUAGGCAGAGUGUGGAAACAAACAAAUGUCUCUCCACUGGUGAACGGACACAUCCAUGUGGUGUGUCUGUCCUUACGGCGAAACAUUAUUUAGCAGUCAAGAGGAAUGAAGUACUGAUUCAGUUAUAACAUGAAUGAACUCGAAACUUUACGCUGUGUGAAGAAAGCCAGACAGAAAAGGCCACAUAUGCCGUGAUUCCAUUUUUUUUUUCAUGGCACGCCCAGAAUAGGCAAAUCUAUAGAGACAGAAAGCAGAUCAACGGUUGUCUAGGGUUGGGGGGUGGCAAGGAGGAAAUGAAGAAUGACUGCUGAUGGAUGUGGGGUUUCUUUUUGAUCGACAAAAAUGCUCCAAAAUUGAUGGUGGCGAUGGUUAUACAACUCUGCCAGCACACUAAAAACCCGUGAAUUGUGCACUUGGAACGAGGUGUCUGUGUGUGAAUUACAUCUCCAUAAAGCUGUUAUAAAGACCAUUUGGAGGGUGACUGGCAUGUGAUCUUCAUGGCGUAAGCGUUAGCUCUGAUGAUGAUGGGGGCAGUGGGGUGGUGGUGGUUGCCCGUAACUGUUGGAAACACGCAGCGUGUCUUACUGUGAAGCAUUCUGUUGUAUAGGAUCUCCUCUAUCGAAGAUCUAGGUCACUAGUGGAUUAUGAAAAUGCUAACAAAGCACUGGAUAAAGCAAGAGCGAAAAAUAAAGAUGUUCUUCAGGCUGAGACAUCCCAACAAUUAUGUUGUCAGAAAUUUGAAAAAAUAUCUGAAUCUGCAAAACAAGAACUUAUAGAUUUUAAGACGAGAAGAGUUGCCGCAUUCAGAAAAAAUUUAGUGGAACUGGCAGAGUUAGAACUGAAGCAUGCAAAGGGUAACCUACAGUUGCUGCAGAACUGCUUGGCAGUGUUAAAUGGAGACACAUAAGCCACACUCCGCCUUUGGUUAAAAAGGGCUGCCUUCCUUCAGAUUUUAUUUUUGUUUUCUUAAUGAGAUUAGGCAUUUACUGCUCACUGGAAACAAAAGAAACAGCUGACCAAGUGCAUCUACUCUCCUUUUUUUCUGAGAAGCGAUGGAGCGGUGCCGUCCACGGGUUUUGCGGGUCCGUCCGUCCGUCUGUGUGGUGGAACGCUGCCCUCCUGCAGCUCCCCGUGUGCUCCCUGGGACGGUUGUCCAUCACCGUGCGCUCCUCCUCUUCCGAAGCCCAGCGUUCAGUCCUUUUUUAAGUAGCCUCUGUAACGGUCUUUAUUUUCUGAAUAGCGUUCCUUAUGGCUGCCAAUCUUAUUUCCCUUUAAGUAAUUUCUGAUGUUUAACCCUUUCAAAGAUGCAUUGUUCAGACAAGAUAAAGGUUGCCAUUACCUUGUGUUUUCUUUUGGUGUUUUUGUUAUGUUUUGUUUUGUUUUGUUUUUUUAAAAACAUUGUAUGCCACCUUAGUUCAUCCAUGUAUCCUGGUAAAAGCAUCUUAAUCAGACUUAUUUUUAAUUAAUGAACAUUUCUUAGAAGUUUUGGGACAGACUUUAUGUAAUCUUUGUAAGUAUGAUUUCUGAUGAAAAGCGACUGCAUUAGUAUGUUUGCCUUAAACUUGUAGACUAAACCGACUAUUGUCAAAUAAACCGUGGUAACAGUGAUAGUUUUUAACUCUGUGGUCAUUGUAUCACUCUAAAAUUUGGAGUAGCUAUAAUCAAUCUACUCCUUCGUUAUGCUUUACAGUGCAGGUCUUCUGUCUUUUUUCUCUGAAAAUGGCAUGUUGAACCAGGUUCACCAAUCCCCUUACGAAAGAAUGAACUGCUUCUCUGUGUGCUCUCAGCCUUUCCUAGAAGAUGGAAUUGGGCAGAGGCAGGUUCGAAACAGCUGUUUCUAAAAUACAGGAGGCAGACAGAAUGGUCCGUCUGUGAUGGUUUCCUGAAUUCCAUCCCUAGCCGGGCCAGUUAACCCUGAGACACGCCAUCGAGCCACUUGAUAGUUCUACUAGUGUACGGAUUGGUAUGGAGAGAGAAAGAGUGCUGUAAGGAACAGCCCUCGUGGGGGGGGGGGGGGGGGGGGGGGGUGGAGAUUGGAAUAUUUGGAAUGGAAGGCUCCAAAAAGGGUACUAGUUACAAUACAAAUACGAUUGGCCUUUUUAAUGUGAAUUAUCGCCACGUCAUUUCUAAUUUAAAAUUCGAUUGUGUGGUUUGGUUUUUUUCACUGUCUAACUUUUCUUCCAGUUGGAAACCACAGGUAUUUGGGUUGGUCACCUUGUAGGUGGGUUCCUCGUUUACAUUUUCCCCACCCCUGGUCUAGGUCUUCUGCGUAGUCACCAUGAUCCCAGCCUUGCUCUCCGGCAUGUUCUCUUGCCUUACUGGUGUGCUGGUUCACGUUUCUCUCUUUCACUGGCGUUGUUCCCUGGUUAUUCCCUGAUGUCGUUUGUACUACCCCCCCCCCCCCCCCCCCCCCCCGUUUGCUUGAGAAAUCUGUGUCUUUGGUCUUCCUGUCUGUCCCCUUCACUGGUGAGAAGACGCCCACGCGAUGCUCACCAGUGGAUAAACGGGACAGAGAGCCCUGGCUUCGGGACUCGGGUGCAGUCCCUUCGCCGUCUGCCCUCGUGGCCUAGGCAGGUUUGGUUCGCUUGACCUCUGUCUGCCUCAGUUUCUCUACUACAAAGGACAUACUGACCUACCUACCUCACAGGGGUGUUGUGAGGAUAAAUAAACAUUGGUACAGUGCUUUGAAAACGUGA